rnacentral:siRNA from 1 species
CCCAUGUUACAGUGUUACAUAUA